rnacentral:lncRNA from 1 species
UAAACAGGUUCAAGAUGAGCAGCAAGACUCCCUAAGUCUCCCAUGUUUCAAAGGAAGACAGAAGCAAUACCCAGACCUUGAACUAUCCAUAUCCUUAAAAUGUGGAAUCAACAGAAUUGUUUCUGAAGGCUCUGCCUCUGGACAUCAGAAGAGUCAGAUGACAUGUCACCGGAAAAAGGUGGCAAAGGGCAUCGUGGUACUGGGGUGGCUGUAAGAGCUGGCUCCUCUGCUCUCCCACAGCUGGGCUGAGGUACCUCCACUCUGACUCAAGGCACCCUGGUGCAGUCCCUGUCCAUUUUGUCCCUCACUGCUUACAGGAAGUUCAUCAUGGCUGUUCAGGAAAAGCAUUCUCAGGGGCAGCAAAGAGCUCUAGGUUAAAAUUCAGUUGCUGGAACAGGAAGAGGUGAAAUU